rnacentral:rRNA from 1 species
GGAUGAGCCCGCGGCCUAUCAGCUUGUUGGUGGGGUAAUGGCCUACCAAGGCGACGACGGGUAGCCGACCUGAGAGGGUGAUCGGCCACACUGGGACUGAGACACGGCCCAGACUCCUACGGGAGGCAGCAGUGGGGAAUAUUGCACAAUGGGCGCAAGCCUGAUGCAGCGACGCCGCGUGAGGGAUGACGGCCUUCGGGUUGUAAACCUCUUUCACCAGGGACGAAGCGCAAGUGACGGUACCUGGAGAAGAAGCACCGGCCAACUACGUGCCAGCAGCCGCGGUAAUA